GUCGCAUGCUUCCGGGCGCCAUGGCGGCCGCGGGAAUUCGAUUUACCGCGGCUGCUGGCACGAAGUUAGCCGGUGCUUAUUCUGUCGGUAACGUCAAAACAGCAAGGUAUUAACUUACUGCCCUUCCUCCCAACUUAAAGUGCUUUACAAUCCGAAGACCUUCUUCACACACGCGGCAUGGCUGGAUCAGGCUUUCGCCCAUUGUCCAAUAUUCCCCACUGCUGCCUCCCGUAGGAGUCUGGGCCGUGUCUCAGUCCCAGUGUGGCUGAUCAUUCUCUCAAACCAGCUACAGAUCAUUGGCUUGGUAGGCCAUUACCCUACCAACUACCUAAUCUGGCGCGGGCUCAUCCAUCAGCGAUAAAUCUUUCCUCCAAAGAGAAUAUACGGUAUUAGCAAUUAUUUCUAAAUGUUAUUCCGUACUGAUGGGCAGAUUCCCACGUGUUACUCACCCGUCUGCCACUAAUUUAUUUAAAGCAAGCUCUAAAUAAAUCCGUUCGACUUGCAUGUGUUAAGCAUACCGAAAGCGUUCGUUCUGAGCCAUGAUCAAACUCUAAUCACUAGUGAAUUCGCGGCCGCCUGCAGGUCGACCAUAUGGGAGAGCUCCCAACGCGUUG
rnacentral:rRNA from 1 species